AACGAACGCUGGCGGCAUGCCUAACACAUGCAAGUCGAACGAGACCUUCGGGUCUAGUGGCGCACGGGUGCGUAACGCGUGGGAAUCUGCCCUUUGCUUCGGAAUAACAGUUAGAAAUGACUGCUAAUACCGGAUGAUGUCUUCGGACCAAAGAUUUAUCGGCAAAGGAUGAGCCCGCGUAGGAUUAGGUAGUUGGUGGGGUAAAGGCCUACCAAGCCGACGAUCCUUAGCUGGUCUGAGAGGAUGAUCAGCCACACUGGGACUGAGACACGGCCCAGACUCCUACGGGAGGCAGCAGUGGGAAUAUUGGACAAUGGGCGCAAGCCUGAUCCAGCAAUGCCGCGUGAGUGAUGAAGGCCUUCGGGUCGUAAAGGACUCUUUUACCUAGGAGUAGAUAAUAGACAGUACCUGGAGAAUAAGACUCCGGCUAACUCCGUGCCA
rnacentral:rRNA from 1 species